UGCACGUUCUCACCGCAGUUGAAAUCAUUUCAGUCUCGCACAGGAAGCUGGGGUGAAUAGGAAAGGUUAUUAAUUCAAUUUUAUAGUAUGUCGCUGAUGACAGCUAGCUAGUAAUUUUGAACGUUAAGUGAACGUGACGUUCAACUUUACUCCCCAAGUUUAAGGUGAUCAUCUAAAAAUGACAAAAAAAGAUUUACCAGACCGUUCUACAGAAGUUGAUUCAGGAAUACUGUCAUAUGAAACUUCGUCAUCUAUUUGUGAGAGACCAGUUGUUCAUCCAGUGACUGCUGCGCCCAUGCCUGUGGAUUCUGAUUUCAUUUGCCUUUGAAUGCUACUGGAUUUAAAAAUGCAUCCUAGAUAGUUAGUUUAUGGCUUCAGAUGUUUUCGCAAUAACAGCCGUGUGGAGUUUCUUCUGGUUACCAAGCUGAGGAAGGCUGUCAUUCACAGAAGUACAUUUCCUACAAAGUCCAGCACUCCAGGAAGGCAGUACUUGAUGGCUUUUGCAACAGAGAAUAUGUCAAGUGACAGAACACUUCAGUCAGUUGUAAAGAAUAAAGUCCCACAAGAGACUGAUAAACAACAGAAGUUGCCUGACAAAGAGACUAACACCUUUCUGGGACCCACUACAACACCUGUAGGUUCCAUCUCAGAGGCUUAUUCCUGUCAAGAGACAAACACAAGUGCAGCUGGCAUUGAGCGGCAAUUUUGUC